CCUACGGGGUGCACCAGUGGGGAAUAUUGCACAAUGGGCGCAAGCCUGAUGCAGCCAUGCCGCGUGUAUGAAGAAGGCCUUCGGGUUGUAAAGUACUUUCAGCGGGGAGGAAGGCGAUAAGGUUAAUAACCUUGUCGAUUGACGUUACCCGCAGAAGAAGCACCGGCUAACUCCGUGCCAGCAGCCGCGAUAAUACGGAGGGUGCAAGCGUUAAUCGGAAUUACUGGGCGUAAAGCGCACGCAGGCGGUCUGUCAAGUCGGAUGUGAAAUCCCCGGGCUCAACCUGGGAACUGCAUUUGAAACUGGCAGGCUGGAGUCUUGUAGAGGGGGGUAGAAUUCCAGGUGUAGCGGUGAAAUGCAUAGAGAUCUGGAGGAAUACCGGUGGCGAAGGCGGCCCCCUGGACAAUGACUGACGCUGAGGCGCGAAAGCGUGGGGAGCAAACAGGAUUAGAUACCCCGGUAGUC
rnacentral:rRNA from 1 species